GCUUACGGCCACACCGGCCUGAGUACGCCUGAUCUCGUCCGAAUCUCGGAAGCUAAGCAGGGUCGGGCCUGGUUAGUACUUGGAUGGGAGACCGCCUGGGAAUACCAGGUGCUGUAAGCU
ensembl:rRNA 5S_rRNA 5S ribosomal RNA